GACAGAUGUGAGGGGUGAUGACCAGUGUGAGGAGGACAUUCCUACAGAUAGGAGCCCAGAAGACUGUACUGGGAGCUCGGAGGGACAAUUGAUAUCUACAGAUUAUAAUGCAUAUGAUCCGGGUGUCACAUCAGAUACGUAUGAAGAUUGUGCCAUUAUCCCAGAUGUACCAUCCACCCUUCACAGCAAAACUGCUGUCAUCUGACCCUUUAAAACAAAUCCGAUCUUCUGAUUCAUCACAGACCGUUAACCAGAAUGCAAGCCACAAAAGGGGUGUGGGAGCCCAAAGAGCUCAGAAAGGGAAAGAAGUCAUAUCCAUGUUCAGAAUGUGGGAAAUGUUUUACUCAGAAAUCAGAACUUGAGAGGCAUCAGAGAGUUCACACGGGAGAGAAGCCGUAUUCAUGUUCAGAAUGUGGGAAAUGUUUUACUCAGAAAUCACAUUUCAUAAACCAUCAGAUAAUUCACACAGGGGUGAAGCCAUAUUCAUGUUCAGAAUGUGGUAAAUGUUUUACUAAGAAAUCAAAUCUUCAGAGUCAUCAGAGAAUUCACACAUGGGGUGAAGCCAUAUUCAUGUUCAGAAUGUGGGAAAUGUUUUAUUCAGAAAUCAUCUCUUAAGACCCAUCAGAGAAUUCACACAGGUGAGAAGCAAUAUAUUUGUUCAGAAUGUGAAGAGUGUUUUGCUAGAAAAUCCGCUCUUCUUUUACAUCAUAGACGUUACACAGGGGAGAAGCCGUAUUCAUGUUCGGAAUGUGGGAAAUGGUUUACUCAUAAAUCAUAUCUUAUUAAACAUCAGAGAAUUCACACAGGGGAGAAGGCAUAUUUAUGUUCAGAAUGUGGGAAAUGUUUUACUAAGAAAUCAUAUCUUCAGAGUCAUCAGAGAAUUCACACAGGAGAGAAGCCGUAUUCAUGUUCAGAAUGUGGGAAAUGUUUUACUCAGAAAUCCCAUCUUGCGAGACAUCAGCAAAUUUGCACAAAGAAGAAGCCGUAUUCAUGUUAAGGAUGUGACUGAUAUUUCGUUAGUAAAUCUGAUCUUCAACAUUAAAGAUGUCACAUGGGAAAAA